AUCAAAACUCCCUAAAGUUUACUUAGGGGCUUCCCUGGUAGAGGGGUGGCUCAUCCAAUCACAGUAGGAACCGUGGAGGAAGUGGGUUCGAAACCCGCUGUUACCCUGGAUGUAUCUCCGUGCUGUCCUUCUAUGUAAUGUGCUACUUGUCCUUCAACUUGACAAAAGUUAAUAAGCCUUAAUGGAGCACACAAGCCUGCAAAUAUAUGCUGUAGCAAUAAACAAAGCCCGGAACAUAACUGGAUUCCAAGGAGGCGGUACUACUUGGUGCUAUCUCUCCUAUUGUGCUAUCUGUCCUUUUCCACUUGACGAAGGUUUAUAAGCCUAUUUUGAGCACACAAGCCUGAAAAUUUAUGUAAUUGCAAUAACCAAUAAACAAAGCCUUCAUCUAUAACUAGUCUCCAUUGUUUUUAAACAAGAAUUAAUUUGUGAAGUUCGAAUAAAAUAGCGUCAUUUAGAAUUACUUUAACUACUUGUGCAUUUAAAGUCAUUUUGUUAGGCUCCAACAAGACGCAGUGAACAAGAAUUAAAUCAUUUAAUGAGAAGAAAGUUACCGAAUUCUUACCGCCCUUUUCCCUCAUUUCUGCAGGAUGGGGUGUCAUGCUUGUGAUGUAUCUACAGUAAAAAAAAACCGAAAAUACAUUGAGUAAUUAUAAUUUCGCAUCUUCUUUUCUAUGAAUGAGUAAUUUCAAAAAAUAUUAUUUUCAAGAAUUUUAAAUUAUUAAACCUUAAA